rnacentral:rRNA from 1 species
ACGGAAGGCAGCAGUGGGGAAUAUUGGGCAAUGGGGGAAACCCUGACCCAGCAACGCCGCGUGAAGGAAGACGGUCUUCGGGUUGUAAACUUUUGUUCUUAGUGAAGAUAAUGACGGUAGCUAAGGAGAAAGCCACGGCUAACUACGUGCCAGCAGCCGCGGUAAUACGUAGGUGGCAAGCGUUGUCCGGAAUUACUGGGUGUAAAGGGAGCGCAGGCGGGAAAUCAAGUUGGAUGUGAAAUGUCGGGGCUUAACCCCGGAACUGCAUCCAAAACUGAUUUUCUUGAGUGAAGUAGAGGUAGGCGGAAUUCCGAGUGUAGCGGUGAAAUGCGUAGAUAUUCGGAGGAACACCAGUGGCGAAGGCGGCCUACUGGGCUUUAACUGACGCUGAGGCUCGAAAGUGUGGGGAGCAAACAGGAUUAGAUACCCUGGUA